rnacentral:rRNA from 1 species
GAUAAGAGGGUGCUAGCUUGCUAGAACUUAGAGACAGGUGCUGCACGGCUGUCGUCAGCUCGUGUCGUGAGAUGUUGGGUUAAGUCCCGCAACGAGCGCAACCCACGUAUUUAGUUGCUAACGGUUCGGCCGAGCACUCUAAAUAGACUGCCUUCGUAAGGAGGAGGAAGGUGUGGACGACGUCAAGUCAUCAUGGCCCUUAUGCCCAGGGCGACACACGUGCUACAAUGGCAUAUACAAUGAGACGCAAUACCGCGAGGUGGAGCAAAUCUAUAAAAUAUGUCCCAGUUCGGAUUGUUCUCUGCAACUCGAGAGCAUGAAGCCGGAAUCGCUAGUAAUCGUAGAUCAGCCAUGCUACGGUGAAUACGUUCCCGGGUCUUGUACUCACCGCCCGUCACACCAUGGGAGUUGAUUUCACUCGAAGCCGGAAUACUAAACUAGUUACCGUCCACAGUGGAAUCAGCGACUGGGGUGAAGUCGUAACAAGGUAACCGUAGGAGAACCUGCGGUUGGAUCACCUCCUUUCUAG